AUUGAGCGCUGGCGGCAGGCCUAACACAUGCAAGUCGAGCGGAUGAAGAGAGCUUGCUCUCUGAUUUAGCGGCGGACGGGUGAGUAAUGCCUAGGAAUCUGCCUGGUAGUGGGGGAUAACGUUCCGAAAGGAACGCUAAUACCGCAUACGUCCUACGGGAGAAAGCAGGGGACCUUCGGGCCUCGCGCUAUCAGAUGAGCCUAGGUCGGAUUAGCUAGUUGGUGAGGUAAUGGCUCACCAAGGCUACGAUCCGUAACUGGUCUGAGAGGAUGAUCAGUCACACUGGAACUGAGACACGGUCCAGACUCCUACGGGAGGCAGCAGUGGGGAAUAUUGGACAAUGGGCGAAAGCCUGAUCCAGCCAUGCCGCGUGUGUGAAGAAGGUCUUCGGAUUGUAAAGCACUUUAAGUUGGGAGGAAGGGCAGUAAGUUAAUACCUUGCUGUUUUGACGUUACCGACAGAAUAAGCACCGGCUAUCUUCGUGCCAGUCGCCGCGGUAACAC
rnacentral:rRNA from 1 species